rnacentral:rRNA from 1 species
UACAGAGGUCUCAAGCGUUGUUCGGAUUCAUUGGGCGUAAAGGGUGCGUAGGCGGCGCGGUAAGUCGGGUGUGAAAGUCUCGGAGCUUAACUCCGAAACUGCAAUUCGAUACUGCCGUGCUUGAGGACUGGAGGAGGAGACUGGAAUUUACGGUGUAAGCUGGUGGAAAUGCGUAGAUAAUCAUGAGGAACACCGGUGGCGAAGGCGGU